rnacentral:rRNA from 1 species
UACGGAGGGGGCAAGCGUUAUUCGGAAUUAUUGGGCGUAAAGAGCUCGUAGGCGGUUUGUCGCGUCUGCUGUGAAAACCUAAGGCUCAACCUUGGGCUUGCAGUGGGUACGGGCAGACUAGAGUGCGGUAGGGGUGACUGGAAUUCCUGGUGUAGCGGUGGAAUGCGCAGAUAUCAGGAGGAACACCGAUGGCGAAGGCAGGUCACUGGGCCGCAACUGACGCUGAGGAGCGAAAGCAUGGGGAGCGAACAGG